rnacentral:lncRNA from 1 species
ACAGGAUGAGAGAUAAUAUCAUAGGAUGAGAUUUCUAUCAUCACAGGAUUAUACCCCGAGCAGGUCUCAGGUUCGGAGCAGUACAACAUACGAUGGAGAUGGGAUCGAGCAGUCAGAUCAACUCCCAUAUUUGUCCAUCCAUGAUCAGUAGGUGAUUGCCCCAGGACAUAGGAGUGAGGAGAUCUAGAAGCUCUUAGAGUUGGAAGUCAAAUGUCUAGUCG